AGUGAACGCUGGCGGUAGGCCUAACACAUGCAAGUCGAACGGCAGCACAGUAAGAGCUUGCUCUUACGGGUGGCGAGUGGCGGACGGGUGAGGAAUACAUCGGAAUCUACUUUUUCGUGGGGGAUAACGUAGGGAAACUUACGCUAAUACCGCAUACGACCUACGGGUGAAAGCAGGGGAUCUUCGGACCUUGCGCGAUUGAAUGAGCCGAUGUCGGAUUAGCUAGUUGGCGGGGUAAAGGCCCACCAAGGCGACGAUCCGUAGCUGGUCUGAGAGGAUGAUCAGCCACACUGGAACUGAGACACGGUCCAGACUCCUACGGGAGGCAGCAGCGGGGAAUAUUGGACAAUGGGCGCAAGCCUGAUCCAGCCAUGCCGCGUGAGUGAAGAAGGCCUUCGGGUUGUAAAGCCCUUUUGUUGGGAAAGAAAAGCAGCAGGUUAAUACCCCGCUGUUCUGACGGUACCCAAAGAAUAAGCACCGGCUAACUUCGUG
rnacentral:rRNA from 1 species